UAGGGAAUAUUGGACAAUGGGGGCAACCCUGAUCCAGCCAUGCCGCGUGAGUGAAGAAGGCCCUCGGGUUGUAAAGCUCUUUUGUCCGGAAAGAAAAGCAUUCGGUGAAUAGCCGGAUGUUCUGACGGUACCGGAAGAAUAAGCACCGGCUAACUUCGUGCCAGCAGCCGCGGUAAUACGAAGGGUGGAAGCGUUACUCGGAAUUACUGGGCGUAAAGCGUGAGUAGGUGGUUGUUUAAGUCUGAUGUGAAAGCCCUGGGCUCAACCUGGGAAUGGCAUUGGAAACUGGGCAGCUAGAGUGCGGUAGAGGGUAGUGGAAUUCCCGGUGUAGCAGUGAAAUGCGUAGAGAUCGGGAAGAACAUCUGUGGCGAAGGCGACUGCCUGGACCAGCACUGACACUGAGGCACGAAAGCGUGGGGAGCAAACA
rnacentral:rRNA from 1 species